UGAAUACGAAAUGCUACGGCAUUGAAGUGAUCUAUGCCAGGCUUCCAAGAAAAUCUCGUCAUAUCUUAAGCAGUAGAUGCCUGUACCUUAAACCGACACAGGUAGGUAGGUAGAGUAUACCAAGGGGCGCGAGAUAACUCUCUCUAAGGAACUCGGCAAAAUAACCUCGUAACUUCGGAAGAGGUACCCUUGAAAAAGGGUUGCAAUAACCAGACCCUGGCGACUGUUUACCAAAACACAGGUCUCCGCUAAUUCGUAAGAUCAAGUAUGGAGGCUGACGCCUGCCCAGUGCCGGAAGGUUAAAGAAGUUGGUCAAUCUUUGGAUGAAGCUGGCGACUGAAGCCCCGGUGAACGGCGGCCGUAACAAUAACGGUCCUAAGGUAGCGAAGUUCCUUCGGGUAAGUUCCGACCCGCACGAAAGGCGUAACGAUCAGGGUGCUGUCUCGGAGAGAGACUCGGCGAAAUAGACAUGUCUGUGAAGAUGCGGACUACCUGCACCUGGACAGAAAGACCCUACGAAGCUUUACUGUAUCUUGGAAUUGGGUUUGGGCCUUGCUUGCGCAGGAUAGGUGGGAGGCUGUGAAGAUAUUCUUGCGGGAAUGUUGGAGCCAACGGUGAGAUACCACUCUAGUAAGGCUAAAAUUCUAACUCUGAACCGUUAUCCGGUCAGAGAACAGUUUCAGGUGGGCAUUUUGACUGGGGCGGUCGCCUCCUAAAAGGUAACGGAGGCGCGCAAAGGUUCCCUCAGGCUGGUUGGACAUCAGUCGUAGAGUGUAAAGGCAUAAGGGAGCUUGACUGCGAGACCCACAAGUCGAGCAGAGACGAAAGUCGGCCUUAGUGAUCCGACGGUUCCACGUGGAAGGGCCGUCGCUCAACGGAUAAAAGUUACUCUAAGGAUAACAGGCUGAUCUCCCCCAAGAGUUCACAUCGACGGGGAGGUUUGGCACCUCGAUGUCGGCUCAUCGCAUCCUGGGGCGGUAGUACGUCCCAAGAGUUGGGCUGUUCGCCCAUGAAAGCGGUACGCGAGCUGGGUUCAGAACGUCGUGAGACAGUUCGGUCCAUAUCCGGUGCAGGCGUUAGAGCAUUGAGAGGAGUCCCCCUUAGUACGAUAGGACCGGGGGGAAUACACCGCUGGUGUACCAGUUAUCGUGCCAACGGUAAACGCUGGGUAGCCAUGUGUAGCGCGGAUAACUGCUGAAAGCAUCUAAGUAGGAAGCCCACCUUAAGAUGAUUGCUCUCACCGCUAUAAGCGGGUAAGGUCACGGUAAGAACAACCGUUAUAUAGGCAUUAAGUAUACGUGCAGUAAUGCAUUUAGCUGAGAUGUACUAACAGACCGAGGGCUUGCU
rnacentral:rRNA from 1 species